rnacentral:rRNA from 1 species
AUUGAACGCUGGCGGCAGGCCUAACACAUGCCAGUCGAGCGGAUGAAGGGAGCUUGCUCCUGGAUUCAGCGGCGGACGGGUGAGUAAUGCCUAGGAAUCUGCCUGGUAGUGGGGGAUAACGUCCGGAAACGGGCGCUAAUACCGCAUACGUCCUGAGGGAGAAAGUGGGGGAUCUUCGGACCUCACGCUAUCAGAUGAGCCUAGGUCGGAUUAGCUAGUUGUUGGGGUAAAGGCCUACCAAGGCGACGAUCCGUAACUGGUCUGAGAGGAUGAUCAGUCACACUGGAACUGAGACACGGUCCAGACUCCUACGGGAGGCAGCAGUGGGGAAUAUUGGACAAUGGGCGAAAGCCUGAUCCAGCCAUGCCGCGUGUGUGAAGAAGGUCUUCGGAUUGUAAAGCACUUUAAGUUGGGAGGAAGGGCAGUAAGUUAAUACCUUGCUGUUUUGACGUUACCAACAGAAUAAGCACCGGCUAACUUCGUG